GCUAGACAAUGAGAAACAAUAGCAAAUGGCCAACAGCUUUAUAAUUAAUAUAGUGUCCUGUGUAUUAUUUGGGGGUUCAGACAGCUCGGCAGGGCCCAGGUGGCUGGCUGGGAAGACAACACAUUACAGGUCUUCCCUUUCCAUCUCUUACUAGAGAAAACAUUUCGACAUUGUUCAGUGUGGAGAUCCACACUGGCUCCACUCCAGGUUUCCAGAUUUUAAAUUUAUCUUUAUGACAACCGACCCUCUCCCUGCUGGACCCCAUAGCACUGAGGCUGCUACUCUGGGUAUCAUGAAGUUCACAGUUGGGUUUAUCACACCCAUGGCCCAGUGUCCAUUGCUGCCUAGACAUCUAGAGUCUGCUGGGAAUAACCCCUGACUUUAACCCUGUACCCCAAUCUUCCAUCUCCUCCCCUACUGUCCUUCCAGAAGCAUGUGAGACUCUAGAUGAGGGGGAGGAUUCAGGAAAAUGACUGGUGCACACAUCAAAUGUCUGAAAAAAUGUAAACCAAUAAAUUCGAGGAAAACGUAAGAGAGGGAGAGGGAGGAGGGGUGAGAAAGGAUCCACGGGCCUCAGAAGAGGUGGCAGGACCCCACGCAGAGUGGACACAGCCGGACUGACUCAACCUUCUACAUGUGAUCCCAUGAGCAAUCCCAAGACCUGCCAUAAGAGGGCGCUGAUUCUACACAGCAGCUCAGGACUCAGGGACCAGCGGCUACAGCUGAGGACCCCAGUGACCAGUCCCCUCUGAAGCAAAGCCCCCCAACUUCAGCCUGUUUGCAAGGAGAGACUGUGACUCCCCAGGAUCCUUCCAUCUGAGUGACCAGUGCACACAGCUUCUCCCAUGUUGGACUCAGGACAUUGGCCACUGGUGACUAAAAAGUCACACUAGGGAGGUGGAGAGAUGAAUCAGCAAUUACGUGUUUACUGCUCUCACAGAGGACCUGAGUUCAAUUCCCAGUAGCCACAUCAGGCCGCUCACAAAGGCAUGCAACCCUGGCUCCAGGAGCUCCUCCCCCAUCUUCUGAUCUCCACAGCCACCCCACCCCCACACACACCAAAAACAAAAACCCCAACCCUAAAUGGAAAAAAAAAAGUCACACUACAGACCUCUGGGAUGGAGUGCUUCCACUGUGGGUGACAGCUCUCAAGCCAGUCCUGUACCCUGGCCUCCUGGCUCUGUGGUGCUUUUCUCUCAAACUGAAAUCUGGAGAGAAGUCCAUUACAAUUGUUUCCAUCAGUCUUCAAAAGUCCAGAUACUUGAUGGUGACAGCCCUUACUGACCUGUCACCUGAUGAGCCAGCAUGUGUCCAUCAAGGACAGACAGGCAGAGGACUCCUGACUCUCCCAGAGGCCUCAGCUUGGCUUGUUCCCCAUUGCAUGCAGCCUACUUGAAUUGCUGUCUGUGUCCCGUUCUCGUCUGGACCUGCUGUCCACCUGCUGGUUCUUUUGCCUAGACCUAGUCCUGCCCUUCCACCUGCAGAGGUUGACACGGUGUCCCCAGCUUCCCUUUAGACACCAAGAAGACUCCUGCAUCUUCUACUGUUUUCCCAGUUUUGACUUCUCGUGCCUCUUUGGAACUCCUUGCCAACCUUUUGUGGUUACUCCCUAACUUACCCACAUGUUUGCUAUGUGAUGUGUAAUGUGUAUUAGUAAUUAAGAUUAGAAUGAAAGAAACUGUGUUUGCCUUGGUCAGGCUAUCAAGGAAAGCGGAGUUAUCUAGUGCAUUGCUGCCACUGAAACAGCUGUGUCUUGUGAAUUGUUAUUCAAUGAAUUCUGACACUGUAGAAAGACA